ACUCCGUCCAGGGUGUAUCCUGCCUCAAUGCCCGAUGACGCCUGAGAUGUUCGGAUAAGCGGUCUGGUGGCUGCAGGAAAGAACCUAUCUGGCAUGCAAACCUCUUCCUUCUUCCAGGGCCUGAUAGUGAGAUUCUGCCCCCUACAUCUGCACUUGCUGAACUCACCAAACAUGGAUUAGACAAACCUGUGCAUGAGUCAGCAGAGGCUGGACAUACAAAGUCAAAGAUUGACAUAAGAUGGAGUUUAUCUGAUUUGAACAACUUUGCCAAAGUUACCCUCAUAUUAGUUUAAAUUUGGUAGGCUUUGAAUUGGCAAGGACAGGCAAAGGACGCAAGAUACAGAAAUUACAAGUUAGUUCUGUAAAAGAGCUAAAAACAUCUGUUGGCAAAAGCAGACUUUACAUCAUUCUACAAGCUACUGUCUUACAGAUUACAUCACCACCCUCUGCCAUAUCCCAGAAUUCAUUUCCACCACUCUCCACAGGUGCAGCUGUACAGAAGAUCUCACAAGUGACUGAAGAAAACGUAGUUUCAGAUCUGGCAAGCCAGUGCUUCUCAGCCUUAUUCCUGGAUGGCAACUGCCCUGCAUAUGCUAGUGUUUUCCCUGCUCUAUCACACCUGCUUCAAUUAAGAAAAUGCUGUUAAUUUGUUGAUUAGUUAAAUCAGGUGAGCUGAGAAGGCACUAAAAUGUGCAGGUCAGUGGUCCUUCAGGACUAGAGCUGAGAACGUUUGUGGUAAACAAUAUUAAAAUGAUUGCACAUCUACCCAUUUUAGAUCAUUCAUUUAAGUUGUGGUUCUUUUGAAAAGGUAGAUAGAGGAAAGAUGCUAUUUGAAAGAUACCCCCUUCUUUUACCUAAACAAAAAUGAUUUGGAUUUUCUGUGUACUACCAGGCGACAUCCAAAUCCUUUGCUAUAUCUCAGAAUUCAUUCCCACAAUUCUCAGUUGCUCCAGUACAAGAUGUGACAGUUUUGGCUGAGAGUACUCAAUGGCUAAAUGUGGUUUCAGAUCAGGCUCUUCAAGAAUGGUAUGCAAUACGUGCCCAGCAGGACCAGGAGUAUAAAGAAACCUUGUUGAUGGAUCAAGAAAAGGAACUGCAGAAAGUGGCUUAUCGGGCCUCUGAGGACAAGAGUCAAAAGCUUUACAGACUAAGCGGUACACGUUCGUGGCAAAAAUGAUAGCGGUGUGUGUUGUUCAUGGAGGAGUUGGUCCACACUUUUUCUCCUAAAGGCUUUUCCAGCAGAUCUGUGGAUUACCAACACCACCCACCAUGGUAGACAAAGUUGCUGACCAUACCUUCAGGCAACAUUUAAUCAAAACUCAUCUCCAAGAUCUCCAGGGAAAUAAACAAAAAAGAGGAGAAGAGAGGAUUUUUCAAUUAAG